AAAUUCUGCCCUAUGAGUAUUUAAAUGGCUGCAGUAUUCUAACUGUACAAAGGUAGCAUAAUAAUUAGUUUUUUAAUUGAGGACUGGAAUGAAAGAUUAAAUGAGAAAUUUAUUUUAUUAUUUUUAAUUUUUAAAUUUUAUUUUUAGGUAAAAAAUCUUAUUUAUUUUUUUGGGACGAAAAGACCCUAUAGAACUUUAUUUAAUUUAUUAUAAUUUUUAUAAAUACAAGACUUGUAUCUUUAUUUAAGUUUUGUUGGGGUGAUAAAUAAAAUAAUCUUUAUUUUAUAAGUUCAUUAAUUUAUGAUUAUUAUGAUUUAAAUUUUAAUUAUAAGAUUAAGUUACCUUAGGGAUAACAGCGUAAUUUUUAUGGGGAGUUCUUAUCUAUAUAAAAGUUUGCGACCUCGAUGUUGAAUUAAGAUAAAUUAAUGAGGGAGUAUUUAUUAAAUUAAGUCUGUUCGACUUUUAAAUUCUU
rnacentral:rRNA from 1 species